UGUUCAUCUUGUGGGAAAGAACUGCUUUCUAAUAAACUUUGCCUUUGAAGGAAUUUCAAUGGCCUGCGUUGAAGUCUGGAUGUUAGAAAAUAGCGACUCGAUAGAAAAAUUUAUGAGUAUUUUAGAGAAAUUGGGACUCAAUUCGAGAGGGGAGUUUUCUCUCAGAUUUUUCCAACUGAUCAUAAAACGAGAAGAGUUGCGGAAUAAGAAGCGGAGAAAGGAGGACGCUGGACUUCGCGAUGUCGUCAGUUUGUCCAAUUUAACGUGUUCAAUUCUAAAUAAUAAAAAUAAAUAAGCAAUAAGUAAAUUUACAAACUCAUGUCAAUAAAGAAAUGAUAAGUGGAAUUUUUGCAAUUUUA